CAUGGGUGAUGGAAACGUCAUGGGUAAUUGGGCAGAAGUCAGCAGARGYCAUAGUAGUCAAAGGCUCACCGUAAUGGGUGAGACAAGGC
rfam:Oscillatoriales cyanobacterium 'hensonii' Contig_232, whole genome shotgun sequence.